rnacentral:rRNA from 1 species
CCCUAUGGGGUGCAGCAGGCGCGAAACCUCCUCAAUGCACUAACGUGCGAAGGGGUUACCUCGAGUGCUAUCUGAAGAAGGUGGCUUUUCCUUGGUCUAAAAAGCCUUGGGAAUAAGAGGGGGGCAAGACUGGUGUCAGCCGCCGCGGUAACACCAGCCCCUCGAGUGGUGGGGAUGAUUAUUUGGCCUAAAGCGUCCGUAGCCGGCCGGGUAAGUUUCCCGUUAAAUCCAACGUCUCAAGCGUUGGACUGCGGGAAAUACUGCCUGGCUAGAGAGUGGGAGAGGUUAGCGGUAUUCUGGGGGUAGGGGCGAAAUCCUUUGAUCCCCGGAGGACCACCAGUGGCGAAGGCUGCUGACUAGAACACGUCUGACGGUCAGGGACGAAAGCUGGGGUAGCGAACCGGAUUAGAUACCCGGGUAGUCCCAGCCGUAAACGAUGCAUGCUAGGUGUUGGGUUGGCCACGAGCCACCCCAGUGCCGCAGGGAAGCCGUUAAGCAUGCCGCCUGGGAAGUACGAUCGCAAGGUUGAAACUUAAAGGAAUUGGCGGGGGAGCACCACCAGGCGUGAAGCCUGCGGUUUAAUUGGAGUCAACGCCGGGAACCUUACCGGAAGCGACAGCAGAGUGAAGGCCAGAUUGAAGAUCUUGCCAGACGAGCUGAGAGGAAGUGCAUGGCC